GCGAGCGUAGCCAAGUGGUUAAGGCACUGGGUUGUGGCUCCAGCACUCGCGGGUUCGAUUCCCGUCGUUCGCC
rnacentral:tRNA from 1 species